ensembl:snRNA U6 U6 spliceosomal RNA
GUGCUUGCUUUGACAGCACAUGUAUUCAAAUGGGAAGCAUAGAGAAGAUUAAAUCGCAAGGCCUCUGCACAAGGAUGACAUGCAAACUUGUGAAACAUCCCAUAUUUCC